rnacentral:rRNA from 1 species
GAUGAACGCUAGCGGGAGGCCUAACACAUGCAAGCCGAGCGGUAUUGUUUCUUCGGAAAUGAGAGAGCGGCGUACGGGUGCGUAACACGUGUGCAACCUGCCUUUAUCUGGGGGAUAGCCUUUCGAAAGGAAGAUUAAUACUCCAUAAUAUAUUGAACGGCAUCGUUUAAUAUUGAAAGCUCCGGCGGGUAGAGAUGGGCACGCGCAAGAUUAGCUAGUUGGUGAGGUAACGGCUCACCAAGGCGAUGAUCUUUAGGGGGCCUGAGAGGGUGAUCCCCCACACUGGUACUGAGACACGGACCAGACUCCUACGGGAGGCAGCAGUGAGGAAUAUUGGUCAAUGGGUGCAAGCCUGAACCAGCCAUCCCGCGUGAAGGACGACUGCCCUAUGGGUUGUAAACUUCUUUUGUAUAGGGAUAAACCUACCCUCGUGAGGGUAGCUGAAGGUACUAUACGAAUAAGCACCGGCUAACUCCGUG